rnacentral:rRNA from 1 species
AUUGAACGCUGGCGGCGUGCCUAAUACAUGCAAGUCGAGCGGACCAAAGAGAGCUUGCUCUCUGAGGUUAGCGGCGGACGGGUGAGUAACACGUGGGUAACCUGCCUGUAAGACGGGGAUAACUUCGGGAAACCGAAGCUAAUACCGGAUGAUAAAGAGAAACGCCUGUUUCUUUUUUGAAAGUCGGCCUUGUGCUGACGCUUACAGAUGGGCCCGCGGCGCAUUAGCUAGUUGGUGAGGUAACGGCUAACCAAGGCGACGAUGCGUAGCCGACCUGAGAGGGUGAACGGCCACACUGGGACUGAGACACGGCCCAGACUCCUACGGGAGGCAGCGGUAGGGAAUCUUCGGCAAUGGACGAAAGUCUGACCGAGCAACGCCGCGUGAGCGAUGAAGGCCUUCGGGUCGUAAAGCUCUGUUGUCAGAGAAGAACAAGUACCGGAGUAACUGCCGGUACCUUGACGGUACCUGACCAGAAAGCCACGGCUAACUACGUGCCAGCCGCCGCAGUAAGAC